AUCUAAAUAGUUUAAUCAAAAUAUUGGUUUGUGGUGCCGAUGAUAUAUAAUUUGUAUUUUAGAUU
rnacentral:tRNA from 1 species